rfam:Ovis aries breed Texel chromosome 2, whole genome shotgun sequence.
UCCCUGGUGGUCCAGUGGCUAAGACUCCAGGCUCCCAAUUCAGGGGCCCCAAGUUCAAUCCCUGGUCAGGGAA